UACGUAGGCAGCGAGCGUUGUUCGGAAUUACUGGGCGUAAAGGGCUCGUAGGCGGCCAACUAAGUCAGACGUGAAAUCCCUCAGCUUAACUGGGGAACUGCGUCUGAUACUGGAUGGCUUGAGGUCUGGAGGGGGGACUGGAAUUCUCGGUGUAGCAGUGAAAUGCGUAGAUAUCGAGAGGAACACCAGUGGCGAAGGCGAGUCCCUGGACAGAUCCUGACGCUGAGGCACGAAAGCUAGGGGAGCAAACAGG
rnacentral:rRNA from 1 species